rnacentral:lncRNA from 1 species
CAGAAACCUAAAGCUAAAUCCCUAAAAAUUCUCCCCUCACUUAGCCGCUCUCGUUGCUCUCUACCUCUCUCACACGAAUCACACUCACCUACCCAUACCAAGUGAAGCAAUCAAGCAACAAAAACAGCCGCCGGUAGUGCAUCUAUCAUCGAUUGAGCUUGAGGGACGCAGCCACGCCAGUGCAGCCCGCAACUCGGCAGCAACCCAGGAGCAUCAGCCGCGCAACGUAUUAGCAGCCACUCGAACCCACAGCAGUAGCUAACCCGUGCGGCGGUGCAGCAGCAGCAAACCCAGACGAGCGCGACCCGAACCAGUGCCCAGGUGACCGCGACCCGAAUCAACAAGCCAUCACCAACUCAGCGUUUCUUUGGUCUUCUUUGUUCUUUCUUUUCUGGUAAAUUCUCAUUCAAUUUGUUUUGGAUUGGUUUUCAUUAGCUUGUUAUGUUGUUUAAAUUUUGGUCUCUGUUUAUUUUUUCUGGAAAAAGAUUGUUUUUCAUGAUAAAUUUUCGAUGAUGAGUGUGGCAAAUAUUAUGAAAAUGACUCAUUUUUCUUCGAAGUUCGUGAUUGGCUAUCCAAUUUGGAUGUUGAAUGCAGGGGAUCUGCAAUUAUGUUGUGGGUUUAAAUUUUCUCAGAACUUGAAUUUGAUUUCUCAAUUGUAAUUUUGGUUCCUAAUUUCAGAUAUCGAAGUUUUAGAUGACAGUCAAUUCCAGUUUUGACAGAUAUUAACUCCAUAGUCGGCUGCUACAGUUCUAUUUUGUGAGCAAAAAAAAAAAUGAGAGAACUUGUCGAGUGAAGCUUUUAAGAGUCUAAGAGUGAUGGUAACACAAUGCUAAACUCAUCUGCUGGUGCUUUUGUGGAUAAUAUCAUGAGAUUAUGGUUGAAUUAUUGAGAAAUUUUGUAUUGUAGAAUAUUAUGAGAUUAUAGUUUAGAAAAUGUUUUGUAUUGUUCGGAAAAUAUUAUGAAAGUAUGUAUAAAUCGAUUAUGGUGUUAAAAAUUAUCUGUAGGAUAAGGAAGAAGCCCCCACAAAUAUUGGAUUAAUUUUUUUUUAGUAUUAGAAUUUAUAAUUUAUUAUGUUGUAUUGUUAAUAUUGUGCAUUGGAAUAUUGUGCAUUAGGAAUAUUGCUGGGUUAGAAUUUGGCAUACAUGAUGAAUAGACUCGUGGUCUUGGUAAUGGUGCUUGAAAGUGAUUAUGUAUGUUAAUUUCUCUGUUAGACUUUUUCUUUGAUUUAUUAGUUUAUGAACAUGAGCACUAAUUGUGCUCCAUCUGGCUUGAGGGACGCAGCCACGCCAGUGCAGCCCGCAACUCGGCAGCAACCCAGGAGCAUCAGCCGCGCAACGUAUUAGCAGCCACUCGAACCCACAGCAGUAGCUAACCCGUGCGGCGGUGCAGCAGCAGCAAACCCAGACGAGCGCGACCCGAACCAGUGCCCAGGUGACCGCGACCCGAAUCAACAAGCCAUCACCAACUCAGCGUUUCUUUGGUCUUCUUUGUUCUUUCUUUUCUGGUAAAUUCUCAUUCAAUUUGUUUUGGAUUGGUUUUCAUUAGCUUGUUAUGUUGUUUAAAUUUUGGUCUCUGUUUAUUUUUUCUGGAAAAAGAUUGUUUUUCAUGAUAAAUUUUCGAUGAUGAGUGUGGCAAAUAUUAUGAAAAUGACUCAUUUUUCUUCGAAGUUCGUGAUUGGCUAUCCAAUUUGGAUGUUGAAUGCAGGGGAUCUGCAAUUAUGUUGUGGGUUUAAAUUUUCUCAGAACUUGAAUUUGAUUUCUCAAUUGUAAUUUUGGUUCCUAAUUUCAGAUAUCGAAGUUUUAGAUGACAGUCAAUUCCAGUUUUGACAGAUAUUAACUCCAUAGUCGGCUGCUACAGUUCUAUUUUGUGAGCAAAAAAAAAAAUGAGAGAACUUGUCGAGUGAAGCUUUUAAGAGUCUAAGAGUGAUGGUAACACAAUGCUAAACUCAUCUGCUGGUGCUUUUGUGGAUAAUAUCAUGAGAUUAUGGUUGAAUUAUUGAGAAAUUUUGUAUUGUAGAAUAUUAUGAGAUUAUAGUUUAGAAAAUGUUUUGUAUUGUUCGGAAAAUAUUAUGAAAGUAUGUAUAAAUCGAUUAUGGUGUUAAAAAUUAUCUGUAGGAUAAGGAAGAAGCCCCCACAAAUAUUGGAUUAAUUUUUUUUUAGUAUUAGAAUUUAUAAUUUAUUAUGUUGUAUUGUUAAUAUUGUGCAUUGGAAUAUUGUGCAUUAGGAAUAUUGCUGGGUUAGAAUUUGGCAUACAUGAUGAAUAGA